GGUUUGAUUCUGGCUCAGAUUGAACGCUGGCGGCAUGCCUUACACAUGCAAGUCGAACGGUAACGCGGGGGCAACCUGGCGACGAGUGGCGAACGGGUGAGUAAUAUAUCGGAACGUGCCCAAUAGUGGGGGAUAGCUCGGCGAAAGNNGUACUAAUACCGCAUGAGACCUGAGGGUGAAAGCGGGGGAUCGCAAGACCUCGCGCUAUUGGAGCGGCCGAUAUCAGAUUAGGUAGUUGGUGGGGUAAAGGCCUACCAAGCCGACGAUCUGUAGCUGGUCUGAGAGGACGACCAGCCACACUGGGACUGAGACACGGCCCAGACUCCUACGGGAGGCAGCAGUGGGGAAUUUUGGACAAUGGGCGCAAGCCUGAUCCAGCCAUGCCGCGUGCGGGAAGAAGGCCUUCGGGUUGUAAACCGCUUUUGUCAGGGAAGAAAUCUUCUGGGUUAAUACCUCGGGAGGAUGACGGUACCUGAAGAAUAAGCACCGGCUAACUACGUGCCAGCAGCCGCGGUAAUACGUAGGGUGCAAGCGUUAAUCGGAAUUACUGGGCGUAAAGCGUGCGCAGGCGGUCUUGCAAGACAGGUGUGAAAUCCCCGGGCUUAACCUGGGAACUGCACUUGUGACUGCAAGGCUGGAGUACGGCAGAGGGGGAUGGAAUUCCGCGUGUAGCAGUGAAAUGCGUAGAUAUGCGGAGGAACACCGAUGGCGAAGGCAAUCCCCUGGGCCUGUACUGACGCUCAUGCACGAAAGCGUGGGGAGCAAACACCGGUCGUAGUCCGGAUCGCAGUCUGCAACUCGACUGCGUGAAGUCGGAAUCGCUAGUAAUCGCGGAUCAGCUUGCCGCGGGGAAUACGUUCCCGGGUCUUGUACACACCGCCCGUCACACCAUGGGAGCGGGUUCUGCCAGAAGUAGUUAGCCUAACCGCAAGGAGGGCGAUUACCACGGCGGGGUUCGUGACUGGGGUGAAGUCGUAACAAGGUAGCCGUAUCGGAAGGUGCGGCUGGAUCACCUCCUUUCU
rnacentral:rRNA from 1 species